GCGCCCCGUGCCUCGCUCGGUCACUCGACAAUUGGGUCAUCUUGAGCUGGAUGCAGCGUUUGCCUAGAGCGACGCUGUAAGGGGCAAUAUCGACAGAAUUUGAUUGAGUGCGGCCCUAUCUUAUGGUAGGGUUGCAAUUAUGAAAUUCGACAGAA
rnacentral:snoRNA from 1 species